rnacentral:rRNA from 1 species
GAAGGUGGCUAGCGUUAUUCGGAUUUACUGGGCAUAAAGCGCGCGUAGGCGGCUCGACAAGUCGGAGGUGAAAGCCUGCAGCUCAACUGCGGUGUGCCUCCGAAACUGUCGAGCUUGAGUGCGGGAGGGGUGAUUGGAACUCCAGGUGUAGCGGUGAAAUGCGUAGAUAUCUGGAGGAACACCAGAGGCGAAGGCGAAUCACUGGACCGCAACUGACGCUGAGGCGCGAAAGCUAGGGGAGCAAACAGGAUUAGAUACCCUGGUAGUCCUAGCUGUAAACGAUGGGCACUAGGCAAUGGGGAUCCGAUGUCUUCAUUGUCGAAACAAAUGCGAUAAAUGCCCCGCCUGGGGAGUACGGGCGCGAGGCUG